rfam:Myotis brandtii contig282229, whole genome shotgun sequence.
GGUGGUUCUCAGGAGACACACCCUGGAAUCGGGCUCCCUCCUUUCUGGUUUCGGAGUGCGUCACCCAAGAACCGCC